rnacentral:rRNA from 1 species
GGGGAAUUUUCCGCAAUGGGCGCAUGCCUGACGGGGCAAUACCGCGUGAGGGAGGAAGGCUCUUGGGUCGUAAACCUCUUUUCUCAGGGAAGAACAAAAUGACGGUACCUGAGGAAUCAGCAUCGGCUAACUCCGUGCCAGCAGCCGCGGUAAUACGGAGGAUGCAAGCGUUAUCCGGAAUGAUUGGGCGUAAAGCGUCCGUAGGUGGUUCUGUAAGUCUGUGGUUAAAGCGUGGGGCUCAACCCCAUAACGGCCAUGGAAACUACAAGACUUGAGUGAAGUAGGGGUAGAGGGAAUUCCCAGUGUAGCGGUGAAAUGCGUAGAGAUUGGGAAGAACACCGGUGGCGAAAGCGCUCUACUGGACUUAAACUGACACUGAGGGACGAAAGCUAGGGGAGCGAAAGGGAUUAGAUACCCCUGUAGUCCUAGCCGUAAACGAUGGAUACUAGGUGUUGCCCGUAUCGACCCGGGCAGUGCCGUAGCUAACGCGUUAAGUAUCC